AAAAUGCCUUUAUCGUGUGUUCACGAUAUGAAUUAUCACCUGAUACAUGGACGAUCUUGGACUAAAAUGGAUUAUUCAAGAGUUGAUAGAGAUGAGUACCAAGAUACAGAUUUUUAAGACUUUUGGUACACGUUCGCGCAGUACAACUUACUUUUUUAAACGAUAACUCCAAUUUUUUCCACAUAUUGGGGUAAAGUUAUUC